rnacentral:rRNA from 1 species
GACGAACGCUGGCGGCGGGCUUAACACAUGCAAGUCGAACGGAAAGGCCCUGCUUUCGUGGGGUGCCCGCGGGGCGAAGGGGUGAGUAACACGUGAGUAACCUGCCCUGGACGUUGGGAUAACUGCAGGAAACUGGGGCUAAUACCGGAUAGGAGCGCCUGCUGCAUGGUGGGGGUUGGAAAGUUUCGGCGGUGGGGGAUGGACGGGCGGCUUAUCAGCUUGUGGGUGGGGGAGUGGCCUACGGAUGCUUCGGCGGAUAGCCGGCCUGAGAGGGUGACCGGCCACAUUGCGACUGAGAUACGGCCCAGAGUCCAACGGGAGGCAGCGGUGGGGAAUAUUGCACAGUGGGGGGAAGCCUGAUGAGGCAACGCCGCGUGCGGGAUGACGGCCUUCUGGUUGUAAACCGCUUUCGCCUGUGACGAAGCGUGAGUGACGUUAAUGGCUAAAGAAGCACCGGCUAACUACGUG